AGUUUCUGCUUACCAGGCCCUCGGUGCAGCAAAAGUGCUGUAGAGGACAUUUUGACAGAGAACAGAACAGGCAAACUAAGAACUGCCUCAGGGUGACGACCCCUAAGUGUUGUGCGUACCUGCACACAGGUGGCAUGACAAGCUCUGUGGCUUGGUGAGAAAGAUUUGGCUCUCUCUGGCAAACUGGCUCUUCCCUUGUCCUGUUGCCUGGAACACAGCAGAUGGCUUGAUGUGAACAUGCAAGUGGAGAUCAUGAAGACAUGCAGGAAAGACUCAAGUUCAUGAGUCUUCAUCAGUGGGAAUUGCAGAAAUGUUUGAAAUUCGCUAUCUCUUGGGGGACCCCUUACUGGGCUAAUGUUCUGAGAUCAUCUGUGGCUGUGUGUUGAAGCAGCUGGAGCAUCUAUCUGGAACUGGCACUUCACUAUGACCUGGGUUUGGUUCUAAGCAUCUACAGAGUAGCUUGCAGUUUGCAUCCAUUCAUCCUCUAGCUCCAGGGCAUCUGACACCCUCUUCAGAAUGCCAAAGGAUGUCAAACACAUAUGUGAUGCACAAAAUGCAUGCAAACACUCAUACACAUGAACUAAAAUAAAGAUGAUGAUGGUGAUGAUGGUGAUGGUGAUGGUGAUGAGGAGGAGGAGAAAAAGAAGGAGGAGGAGGAAGAAGAGGGAGGAUGAGAAGAAGAAGGAGGAGGAGAACUGAU
rnacentral:lncRNA from 1 species